AUAGUAGCUUUGAAAGGCUCAGGUUUUCCCUCUACAGCCCCAAAUUUUUAGGCAACCAGGGAAGGCCAAUUAUCUCAAAGAGGGAUACCAAUGCUUAUAAGAUCAAGACUCCUAAAUGGUGCUUUUAUAAAAUAAAAAAAAGUUGUCUAAAUUUUAAAGCAAACUAGCCUCUCUUUCUUCAAAGUCCUAUUUUGUGACAAUAUUUUUUGUUGAUAAUUAUUCCCAGUCACAGAUGAAACAAAAUUUAAGAUUCUUAAAUUGAAUACUUCAGAGACGUUAUCUCAAGUAAAAAAAAAAGUUCUAUCAUUGCACUUCAUCAAAUGAAAUAAAUACACAAAUAAUUUCUUUAAAUUUUUAUGGAACUAGCUCUCUAGGCUUGGGCCUAAGUCCUUUACUCAUGCCUAAAGCACCGAAAAAGUCAGACUCUUCAGUGAAUUUGGGACCUGCUACAGUCCCUCCCUCUGGAAAUAGUGAAGAAAACUGAACUCAGCCGGUGUGCCAAGUAUAACUGGUCCUUCUGUGGCAAGAUAAAUUUCUCUGUUAGCCACGAAGAGGAAGGCUAAGAUUGGUGGCUUGGAGACCAGAAGCAGAAACUGAGGCUCAGGUCAAGUAACUUGUUGAAGUCACCAUUGUACUAAAUGACAGAAUUGGAAAUUGACACCCUGUCUAACUGCAAUCUUCCUAUUAUAUUACUAUCCACACUAUACAACACUACCUUCAAAAAUAAAGAUGAGGAAAAUGAAGUGAGGAAAGGUGAAAUAUCUUGGUGAAGGUUAUAAGCUAGUAAGUGGCAGAACUGAGAUUCACACAGAGGUAUGUAUGAUUCCCAAUUCCAUGCCAUUUUCAUUCUGUUGUAUAUCUAGAGAUAUUAUUACAAAGUAGAGAGGAUAGGUGUUUUUUCACUCAUAUCCAGUAACACAUUUUAGCACACUAAGAAGCCCUUUACCCCCUGCUCCUGGGAGCACCCCCAGGAAUCCUAGAUAACAGA
rnacentral:lncRNA from 1 species